rnacentral:miRNA from 1 species
ACAUCCCUCUGCUGGGCACGGGUAGGGCCUCUCAUGCACUGGGGUCUUGCUGGGCCU